UACGAAGGGGGCUAGCGUUGUUCGGAAUUACUGGGCGUAAAGCGCACGUAGGCGGGUUGUUAAGUCAGGGGUGAAAUCCUGGAGCUCAACUCCAGAACUGCCUUUGAUACUGGCAACCUAGAGACUGGAAGAGGUUAGUGGAAUUCCCAGUGUAGAGGUGAAAUUCGUAGAUAUUGGGAAGAACACCAGUGGCGAAGGCGGCUAACUGGUCCAGCACUGACGCUGAGGUGCGAAAGCGUGGGGGAGCAAACAGG
rnacentral:rRNA from 1 species